UUUUUUUUUUUUUUUUUUUCCCUUUUUAAACAAAGCAAAAAUUAAUCAGCCAAAUAGGAAUUGACAGCAUUCCUUUAAAAAGCAAAAUAAAGCUCGCCCCAGCUGGGCACUCACCAGGCUGCUAUAUUUAUUUGUGUCUCACGUGCUGGGCCCAUGUGCAAUUCAGCUUCCCUUGAUGUGAGCAGGCUUUGCUGUGCUCUGCCUUCCCAAGUGCCCCCGGCACACUUAAGCUUUUUCUCUGGCUCCUGCUCCAUGUCACCCCUGUGCCCCUGUGGAACACAGCUGAUCCAAGCCCCCAGCAGCAUCCCAGACUCCAGGGCUGCCUCCAGCCCCAAACUCAGACAAAACUCAAGCCCAUCCUUGUCCUAGACCUCCAGAGCUGCAAGCAGAGCCUGGAAAUUGAUACUCACCCCUCCAGAAAUGCAUCCUAGAGAAAACUCACAAGCUCUACGGAGGUUUCCCCAGUCAAUCGUUCUUUACUUUGGCUGGCAUAAAAAGCUGAAAAAUCUAUAAGAAUACUAAAAAGCAUUUUCAGUUGUAUUCUGACUCUUUUUCCUCAGCACUUGGUGAUAUUUUUUGGGAUCAGCUUGCUAUGCAGCUAAGCAUCAUAACUCAUAAAGAAGAAACACAACUGGCUUGGGGUUUUUUUUGAGUAAUUAAAAUUCCUCCCACUACCUGGUUUCAUAAUUGAAACUGACCACUCCACUGUUCAAACAUGCACUCCUUCCUGUGACCAGGCUUCUUCUGUUUUUUCCUGCUCAGUAAAGGCUCUGGCUCAGAAGUAAGGAUGACAGCCAUCACAUUGACAUAAAAUGCCCUGCCUCUGUCCUAAUGCAGAGAGACUUGAGACGCUCAUAGGUAGCUCCUACAGUCUGUACUUUGCAGCUUGGAAUUUUUAGAUGAAUAAUCACAAAUUUCUACAUUACUUAAACCACUAGAAGACAAAUUUUAAUCAUUGAGGAUCUGCUCCUUGAGAAGCUCAAGUAUCCAGGGAUGGGACAGACAGGAGGUUUUAGGUUGUGUAGCACCUGACAUGUUUGUUUUACUGGUAGAAAUUAUUUCUCUUUCCCUCUUCCUUCUCUGCAGAAAAUAUUCCUCAGUCAUGUGUGUGGCUGUCCAUCUGCCCUCCUCUUUCCCUCAAUCUCAGGUUAUUCCCAUUUGAAGUCGACAGCCCAAAACUUAACAAGCUUCCCUUAUUACACCAAUCAUUCGUAACAGCUUCUGAACACCAGCCACAAUUUAUGACUGCAUUUUCAAAUCAGCACAGGGCAUUUCCAUUUGCCUUCUUUCUACAGAAAAGUUGUUUUAACAAAAUCCAAAAUGAACAAUCACCUACAAGCUUAGGACAUGUUUCUGAAACAGAAAAUGAAGCAAUGGGUCUUCUUGGUUUGUCAUUAUCAACACAGAGCUUUUCAGGCAGACUUAAUUCUUAUCAUCAUCAGAAACAAAAGUCAUCACCAGCAAAUUGCUCCUACUGAAAACACUGUCCUGAACAAAGGGUGAUACAAUUUAAAAGGGAAGAGAGAACUGGUGGUAGAGUUUUGGUUGUUUUUCUUUUUUUUUCUCAGGGCUCCAUCCAGCUCCUCCUGAAGAGGGUUUUUAUUUGCUUGUUACAUUAUUUUAUGUAUGCAGGUCAUCUGAGGGUUGCCAGGGGUUGGGAAUUUCUGCUUAAAAUCCUUUUUGACAAUUGCUUUGUAGUUUCAAUAUUUGCCAACUGCUAAACAAAUUAAGAAUAGAAACAGAAAAAAAGACUUAGGUCUUCAGCAGUCAUCUGACAUCCUAUUUUAAGCCUGUUUCUGAUGGCAUGUCCUCUGACAUUUUUUUAUAAUGUCAGUGACUUUUAAAAUUAGAGUUCAAUCAACUAAUUUUCCGUGCUCUUGUGCAUUAGAUUCAACAAGAUGAGUCUACUAGAAUAGUUUUAAUAUCUGAUUUGCUUUUGCAUUGUUUGUUUUUUUGUUCUUCUGCCAUUAAGUAGCAAAGUGAACUAAAGAACAUUUUUCCAUAUAAAAAAUUCUACCUUCAGGUAGCUAUAGGCAGCAGUCCAGGGAAUCCUGUUCAUUUCUUAGAAGGUAAAAAUCUCUUACUCAAGGCUUCCCAUGGUCUGUCUUUUGGGGAUGGUUUUAUUCCUUUGUUUAUCUAUCUCAUAAGGCAAACAUCUGUUCAAAAUCAGGUAAACUCCAGUUGAAACUUUAACUACAGAAGAGCUACAUUCAUUUCAGAAUAACUUCACUUAGUAGAAUUCAUUCACCAGAGUCCUUACAAAAAUUAUUCACUAUAGGCAGAUUACUACAAGCAGGAAACUACAAAACCACAAAUUUAUUUUACAUAAGUAAACACUAGUUAAAAUUUGUAACACAACUUUAAGAUUGAAAUGUAAAAUGAGUUUCCAUAUAAAACAACAUGGAAGCAAAAGAACCAAAGAUUAAAAAAAAAAAAACAAAAAAAAAAAAAA
ensembl:lncRNA